AUACAUGCACUGUAUAGGUUUGAUUAAGCCAAAGAAUACAAAACUCUUUCUCCCAAGUCUCUCUCUCUCUUCUUCCUCUCUCUCCAGCUAUUCUCCACACCCCAGGAGCAAGAAACUCUAGGGUUUCUUGUCGCCAGGUCCCAAAAAGGAAAGAAAAGCAGGGGAGGCGCUAGCCCCUCCCCCUUUGUGCCGCCAACCAUUUCCUCUCUCCCUCUCUUGCAGCCAUCCAAACAUCAGGUCCAGGACCUGGAAUCUCUUGCGAAGAGGUUGGUACAAGUUUCUUUCAGAUCUAGAGUUGAUCUGAGGUCGUUUGAGGUGCGGGUGAGAUCUCCAUCAAAAGAUCUACAGGAAAGGCUGCAGCAGGAUAGAUCUGCAAGGUCUGUCUCCAUCUACCUUCUUCCCUAUCUAAAACACCCUGAUUUGAGAUCU
rnacentral:lncRNA from 1 species